GACGAACGCUGGCGGCGUGCCUAAUACAUGCAAGUGGGACGCAAGGAAACACACUGUGCUUGCACACCGUGUUUUCUUGAGUCGCGAACGGGUGAGUAACGCGUAGGUAACCUGCCUAUUAGCGGGGGAUAACUAUUGGAAACGAUAGCUAAUACCGCAUAAUAUUAAUUAUUGCAUGAUAAUUGAUUGAAAGAUGCAAGCGCAUCACUAGUAGAUGGACCUGCGUUGUAUUAGCUAGUUGGUAAGGUAAGAGCUUACCAAGGCGACGAUACAUAGCCGACCUGAGAGGGUGAUCGGCCACGCUGGGACUGAGACACGGCCAAGACUCCUACGGGAGGCAGCAGUAGGGAAUCUUCGGCAAUGGACGAAAGUCUGACCGAGCAACGCCGCGUGAGUGAAGAAGGUUUUCGGAUCGUAAAGCUCUGUUGUAAGUCAAGAACGUGUGUGAGAGUGGAAAGUUCACACAGUGACGGUAGCUUACCAGAAAGGGACGGCUAACUACGUG
rnacentral:rRNA from 1 species